CAGAGAAUAGUUUAUUAAAAUUUUAAUUUUGGAGAUUAAAGAUAGAAGGUUUUCUUUCUCUGA
rnacentral:tRNA from 1 species